rnacentral:rRNA from 1 species
AACGAACGCUGGCGGCGCGUUUUAAGCAUGCAAGUCGAGGGGGAGGGGUCCUUCGGGGUCCUGAGACCGGCGGACGGGUGAGUAACACGUAGGUAAUCUGCCGUUGGGUUGGGGAUAGCCUGUGGAAACACAGGGUAAUACCGAAUAAGCCCGGGAAACCGGGGAAAGGCGCUUCGGCGUCGCCCGAUGAUGAGCCUGCGGCUGAUUAGUUAGUUGGUGAGGUAACGGCUCACCAAGGCGACGAUCAGUAGCCGGCCUGAGAGGGUGAUCGGCCACACUGGGACUGAGAUACGGCCCAGACUCCUACGGGAGGCAGCAGCUAAGAAUCUUCCACAAUGGGCGCAAGCCUGAUGGAGCGACGCCGCGUGAGCGAUGAAGGCCGAAAGGUUGUAAAGCUCUUUUCUUGUCGAGGAAUAAGCCCCUGAGGGAAUGCGGGGGUGAUGACGUUAGGCGAGGAAUAAGUCCCGGCCAAUUACGUGCCAGCAGCCGCGGUAACACGUAAGGGACGAGCGUUGUUCGGAAUCAUUGGGCGUAAGGGGCACGUAGGCGGUUCGGUAAGCCUGGUGUGAAAGACCGCAGCUUAACUGCGGGAACGCGCUGGGAACUGCUGAACUUGAGUUCAGGAGGGGAAGCUGGAAUUCCUGGUGUAGGGGUGAAAUCUGUAGAGAUCAGGAAGAACGCCGGCGACGAAGGUGAGCUUCUGGCCAUGGACUGACGCUGANGUGCGAAAGCGUGGGGAGCGAACAGGAUUAGAUACCCUGGUAGUCCACGC